rnacentral:rRNA from 1 species
AUUGAACGCUGGCGGCAUGCCUUACACAUGCAAGUCGAACGGCAGCACGGGAGCAAUCCUGGUGGCGAGUGGCGAACGGGUGAGUAAUAUAUCGGAACGUGCCCAGUCGUGGGGGAUAACGCAGCGAAAGCUGUGCUAAUACCGCAUACGAUCUACGGAUGAAAGCGGGGGAUCGCAAGACCUCGCGCGAUUGGAGCGGCCGAUAUCAGAUUCGCUGGUUGGUGGGGUAAAGGCCUAGCAAGGCUACGAUCUGUAGCUGGUCUGAGAGGACGACCAGCCACACUGGAACUGGGACACGGUCCAGACUCCUACGGGAGGCAGCAGUGGGGAAUUUUGGACAAUGGGCGAAAGCCUGAUCCAGCAAUGCCGCGUGCAGGAUGAAGGCCUUCGGGUUGUAAACUGCUUUUGUACGGAACGAAACGGUGAGCUCUAAUACAGUUUGCUAAUGACGGUACCGUAAGAAUAAGCACCGGCUAACUACGUGCCAGCCGCCGCAGUAACAC